CCUACGGGGGGCAGCAGUGGGGAAUAUUGCACAAUGGGGGAAACCCUGAUGCAGCAACGCCGCGUGAGUGAAGAAGUAUUUCUGUAUGUAAAGCUCUAUCAGCAGGGAAGAAGACCGACGUUACCUGACUAAGCAGCCCCGGCUAACUACGUGCCAGCAGCCGCGGUAAUACGUAGGGGGCAAGCGUUAUCCGGAUUUACUGGGGGUAAAGGGAGCGUAGACGGCUGAGCAAGUCUGAAGUGAAAUCCCGUGGCUGAACCGCGGAACUGCUUUGGAAACUGUAGAGCUGGAGUAAUGGAGAGGUAGGCGGAAUUCCUAGUGUAGCGGUGAAAUGCUUAGAUAUUAGGAGGAACACCAGUGGCGAAGGCGGCCUGCUGGACAGAAACUGACGUUGAGGCUCGAAAGCGUGGGGAGCAAACAGGAUUAGAUACCCUGGUAGUC
rnacentral:rRNA from 1 species